ACUGGGCUAACUUCGGCUGCUUUGGUGACGUCACCAUUCGUUUUUUUCAGUGGUGAGGGAAAGUCAACAUCGGUUACGUCUUGUUGAGGCAACUCUGGCACUGAAACAUUACUAGAGAUCUCGCGGCUAUCCUGGGAGUUGUAGUUUGUCUUCAAAGCUACCAGGGCGUUGGGGCCACGCCCCCACAUCCUUUCCUGUUCCGUUGAAGUAGUGCCUGAUGGAAGUUGUAGUUUCUAUGGAGAUAAACUAUUCUGUGUCUUUAUGAUAAACUAUUCUGUGUCUUUACAAGGCCAGGUGAACCGCACAAACACUCCUUGGGGUUAGAACAGAGGCCUAAUAGGAUGGAUCUGAAUAGCAAACAAUAAUGACGGACGUACACUAGGGCAUGCGGAGAAAUAGGGGACUCUACAUCUCACUUGGGAGUAGAGGAGCCCUGGUCAUUUAAAUCUAGAAGGGUUCUUGCAUGCAAUUAUAACUUCAUUUUAGAGAUGAGACUGCAAGCCUAGAAAGGUUGCACAUGACUUGUCCAAGGUCAGAGCUGAGCCACAGAGCUGUUGGAAAUGGGCUCUCCAGCUGGGACGUAUCUCCUUGGAAUCGAUGGUGGUAAUGUUAGACAAGAACACACCGAUAGUGUGCAUGUAGUGACCCAGGGAUGGACAUCUGACUCAUGGAAGGGACAUAUUAGCGUUGCCCACCUCAGACACACAAAUGGUGGCAGGGAAAACACUUUGGAAUCUCGCAGCUUAUGUGUGUAUACAGAAGAGUUAUCAGGACUGAAAAUCAAGUCCAGAGGAAACUCCAGCUGGGCUAGGGCAGGGCAAUGAAAAAUUAUCAGGGGAAGGAAAUGGCUUUCAGCGACCAGUGCUAUCAGGGACACAGCUUAAGUCCAGGAUGAAACUAGGAGCCAGAAUAGGACAGAAAGAUAGGACACCAGAGACACGCUCACAGAUUAGACCAAUGCAUACUGGACCAGGAAUUCUUACAUGCCUUUUUCCCAGGGGUCUGUCUCCACAGUGAACUAGGCCUAAGUCCAUGGGCAAGAAAAUUAAGUGGAGACA